rnacentral:rRNA from 1 species
UGGGGAAUCUUGCGCAAUGGCCGAAAGGCUGACGCAGCGACGCCGCGUGGAGGAUGACGCCCUUCGGGGUGUAAACUCCUGUUGCCCGGGACGAAUACCCGUUUCGACAGGGGUGACGGUACCGGGUGAGGAAGCACCGGCUAACUCUGUGCCAGCAGCCGCGGUAAUACAGAGGGUGCGAGCGUUGUCCGGAAUCACUGGGCGUAAAGGGCGCGUAGGCGGCUGGGUAAGCGUGUGGUGAAAGCCCGGGGCUCAACCCCGGGUCGGCCAUGCGAACUGUCCAGCUGGAGCGCGGUAGAGGCACAUGGAAUUCCGGGUGUAGCGGUGGAAUGCGUAGAGAUCCGGAAGAACACCGGUGGCGAAGGCGGUGUGCUGGGCCGUGGCUGGCGCUGAGGCGCGACAGCGUGGGGAGCAAACA